rnacentral:ncRNA from 2 species
AUUAAAUAUAUAGGGAUAAGUGAUUCUUUCUUGAGGGGAAGAAUUGAAAAGGGAAGUCAGUUAAGCUGACGCGGCGCCCGCCACUGUAAUAGGGAGUUAACUCACAUAAUGUCACUGGGAUAAAUCCGGGAAGACGUGAGUUGGUGAAGAUCUUGAGCCAGGAGACCUGCUUAUUUCUAAGUCUAAAC